UCCCAGUUCGGAUUGUAGUCUGCAACCCGACUACAUGAAGCUGGAAUCGCUAGUAAUCGCGGAUCAGAAUGCCGCGGUGAAUACGUUCCCGGGCCUUGUACACACCGCCCGUCACACCAUGGGAGUCGGAAAUGCCCGAAGUCUGUGACCCAACCUUAGGGAGGGAGCAGCCGAAGGCAGGUCGGAUGACUGGGGUGAAGUCGUAACAAGGUACC
rnacentral:rRNA from 1 species